AGCCUGAACUCACAGAAAAUCUGGAUUUCUUUCUUGCUUCACCAGUCAUUCGUUAAGCAACCCUAGGAAUAUAGAUGAUACUACUACUUUUUUCCUAUUCAUCUCACCAAUAUCAUUACUCAUUUCUGUUAGAAGCAGAGUGUGAGAGUUUGCAAGAUGACAUAUAUUUUAAUUGCAGAAGGCAAAGAAAAGAAGGUUGAGAGCAAAUAGAAGUAGAUUUGUCCCACUGUGGGAAGAGGAGAGAAUUUGCACUGAUAGCUCCAGUAAGUUGGAUGAGUAACAUCUAGAGAAACUCAUUAUUGCUCAAGCAACUGGCAAAUCUGAGGAUGCAUAUGAAAGUCAAGUAAACGAAAGGAUUCCUAGAGAAAAAAAUGGAAGUGUUUUUAACCUUAAUGGUAAAAUGUUUUUGUCAGUAACUUAUAUCCAAUUGGAUUCCAACAUGUUAUUGAAUUUUCCGAAUAAAUAAAAGUUUUAUGGUUCAUUUAAAAAAAUUUAUGUUUCUUUCCAUCAUUGAAAUCUCUGUCCUGGAGUCUGUACAUUAACUUGUCACUAGUCAUUUUAUGGUCUUGAAUGUCACUAAACUAUAAUGUGAUUAAAUAUACACUAUUGCAAAACAUUUUUUAUGUUAUAAAAAUUUAUAUUGAAGUCUUGUAAUCAAAGACUUUGGUAAAUCUGUGAGAGUAAUUUUAAUUUUAUAUUUUAGAUGUAAAAUGUCUUAGUUUACAUUUUAAUUGUCAUUCAUAUUGUUGACCAUUAUUUGUUCUUGAUAAAGGUACAACUUGCUUUUCUGGGGUUUUGCAUUACCAUUAAUUCUAUGGUUUGGUGCCAUAGUUCAGGCUCCAGACUCUGGAUCCGAACUCUAUGUCACUUGACUUUGUGACCUUGGGCAAGUUACUUGACUCCUCUGUGUUUAAAUUUCCUAAUCUGCAGAAUUGAGAUACUAGUGAUAAUACAUACCUCAUAGAAUUAUUGGGGAGAUUAAGUGAACUGAUAGAUUUAAAGUGUGUAGAGCAGUGUUUGGCAUGCAGAGAUUAUUAUAAGGUUUAAUUAUUAUUACUUAACUAUUGCUGAAGUUUACUCCAACUCUGCUCAUAUUACUUGCUUAUUAUGUAUUUAAGGAUGUAUCAAAUGAUUCUGCAAGUCAGUAGGAAUAGGACACUUCAUGAAGAAGAGGAAAGGUUAGGGCUUAGAAGCCAUGCAGUGUAGAUAGGGGAGAGGAAGGAGCAGGGCUUUAGUUGUUAGACACACCUGGAUUAAACAAGAUUCUUACUAGUUAUGUAAAUUGGCAACUCACUAAAAUGAAAUCUUUUGCAAAAUGAAGACAAUACAUUUUGAAAUCUUGUAUAAAUGACAUAAUGUCUGUAAAGCACUGGGAAAUGAUGCAAUUUUUUGAAACCUCCUCUCCAUUUUUUAAAGCAGAAAAAAAAUAGUGGAUCUUACAUAUAAUUUUUAACUUUACUUUUUAAAUUAACACUACAUUACAAGCAUAUUUCCAUGUCAUUAAAUAUUUGAUUACAUAAGAAUAUUUAAAAGUUAACAGUUGUUUAUUUUAUUUAACCAGUUCCUAUUUCUGAAUAUUUAUGCUGUUUCCAAUAUUCUCUAAUAUUGGCG
rnacentral:lncRNA from 1 species